CAGUAGCCACGGGAAUACGAAGGGGGCUAGCGUUGCUCGGAAUUACUGGGCGUAAAGGGAGCGUAGGCGGAUCGUUAAGUUGGGGGUGAAAGCCCGGGGCUCAACCUCGGAACUGCCUUCAAUACUGGCGAUUUUGAGUAUGAGAGAGGUGUGUGGAACUCCGAGUGUAGAGGUGAAAUUCGUAGAUAUUCGGAAGAACACCAGUGGCGAAGGCGACACACUGGCUCAUUACUGACGCUGAGGCUCGAAAGCGUGGGGAGCAAACAGGAUUAGAUACCCCAGUAGUCCCUGUCUCUUAUAC
rnacentral:rRNA from 1 species